rnacentral:rRNA from 1 species
CAUUAUAACAGCUAUAAUUUACUUGAUCUUGACACAAUCCUACUUGGAUAACUGUGGUAAUUCUAGAGCUAAUACAUGCAUUAAAGCUCUGACCUCACGGGAAGAGUGCAUUUAUUAGAACAAAACCAAGCGGCUUCGGCUGUUUCUGGUUGACUCAUAGUAACUGAGCUGAUCGCAUGGUCUUGCACCGGCGACGUGUCUUUCAAGUAUCUGCCGUAUCAACUUUCGAUGGUAGUGUAUCUGACUACCAUGGUGAUCACGCGUAACGGAGAAUAAGGGUUCGGCUCCGGAGAGUUCGCCUGAGAAAUCGCGAACACAUCUAAGGAAGGCAGCAGGCGCGAAAAUUACCCACUCUCAGCACGAGGAGGUAGUGACGAAAAAUAACGAGACCGUUCUCUUAUGAGGCCGGUCAUCGGAAUGGGUACAAUUUAAACCCUUUAACGAGUAUCUAUGAGAGGGCAAGUCUGGUGCCAGCAGCCGCGGUAAUUCCAGCUCUCAAAGUGCAUAGAAUUAUUGCUGCGGUUAAAAAGCUCGUAGUUGGAUCUGUGCCAUAGGACGUGGUCCACCUUCGGGUGCGUACUACGCUCCUAGGCUUUUUGCUGGUUUUCCCGUCGUAGCCUUCACUGGUUGCGGCGGGUGGCUGGCGAGUUUACUUUGAGAAAAUCAGAGUGCUCAAUACAGGCGUAUCGCUUGAAUGAUUGUGCAUGGAAUAAUAGAAAAGGAUUUCGGUCCUCUUUUAUUGGUUUUGUGGACUGAGAUAAUGGUUAACAGGGACAAACGGGGGCAUUCGUAUCUCUGCGUGAGAGGUGAAAUUCUUGGACCGUAGAGAGACGCCCUACUGCGAAAGCAUUUGCC